rnacentral:rRNA from 1 species
AUUGAACGCUGGCGGCAUGCUUUACACAUGCCAGUCGAACGGCAGCGAGGAGAAGCUUGCUUCUCUGUCGGCGAGUGGCGAACGGGUGAGUAUAGCAUCGGAACGUGCCAAGUAGUGGGGGAUAACCAAACGAAAGUUUGGCUAAUACCGCGUAAGCUCUAAGGAGGAAAGUAGGGGACCUAAAUAAGGCCUUACGCUAUUUGAUCGGCCGAUGUCGGAUUAGCUAGUUGGUGGGGUAAUGGCUCACCAAGGCAAUGAUCCGUAGCGGGUCUGAGAGGACGAUCCGCCACACUGGGACUGAGACACGGCCCAGACUCCUACGGGAGGCAGCAGUGGGGAAUUUUGGACAAUGGGGGAAACCCUGAUCCAGCCAUGCCGCGUGUAUGAAGAAGGCCUUAGGGUUGUAAAGUACUUUUGUUAGGGAAGAAAAGCUAGUUUUUAAUAAAAAUUAGUGAUGACGGUACCUAAAGAAUAAGCACCGGCUAACUACGUG